GGAGCUGUGGCCGAGUGGCUGAAGGCACCGCUUUGCUAAAGCGGCAUACCUCUCAAGGGUAUCGAGGGUUCGAAUCCCUCCGGCUCCGCCA
rnacentral:tRNA from 5 species